UCUAUUCUUCUCUUAUUUGAUUAACAGAAGGAUUGAUUUCAUUCAUUAUCUGAGUAUAUAUCAUUGAUACUCUUCUUUUGUUUAAUAAAUUGACCUUCAGCAAAGAGUCUAAACAGGAUGUUGGGAAGUAUCUGGAAAAUUUACGUACAAAGUCUCUAAUGUUAUUGUUUUAUUCACAGACUGUAGAUUAUUUUUUAUUCAGAAUCAAAGAAUCAAAAUAACAGAAUUACAAAGUGCCUUCAUGCUACUGUUGUAAUAAUACUGAACUGAACUUAAAUGAGCUGAACUGUGCUAUACAGUGAUUGAUGAAUUUGUUAGACACCAUCCAGUGUAAUUUUUAUGCCACACUGCCACAAAUUAAGUGUAUUGGUAAUCAUUUUUGUAUUUCUGUAAUGGUUAAUCCACCAGAGUGCACAAGCUCUUUAAUCCAAAUGAUAUUUUAAUGCUAAUUUAUAAAUAUUGAUUCAUUUCUAACUUCUCACAAAGAUGUGAGUUCAGUUUCCUAUUUGUCUAAUCAAUGAAAUCAUUUGUAGUUUCAACCAUGUUUUUGACAGAUUUCUAAAAUAUUAAUCUUUUUUUAUUUUUUUAAUGACAGGUGGUCUGACAUUUUGUUAAGCACUGUGUGUAUCACCAUCAGUUACAGUCUUGACAGGAAAAGAUAAAUUUGUGUCUAUUUUGGAAAAAAAAUGAGUAUUUCCAGCCUGGCAUUGUAACCUCAUUUGGACAGGUAGUAGCUGCCAAAAGUAUUGUUGCUUUAAAACCUUUAGCCCCAACACCUCCAAGAAUUCCCGAAGCUAAGCAACAAGGACCUCGGCCUGGGAUGUUGCUCUGCCAUGCAAUAGCCAUCGCUAAAGAAAUGAUCCUGAUGCCCUCACACGUCGUCACUUCUGCGCCACCCUGGGAAACCUGCUAAAUGUUGAUGGAGCCAUAUCCUUGUUGCUGGAGGAAAAUGUGCCCGGCUUACUUCUAAGAACUGCAUGCACAGAUUACCACAGUGCAGUGAGAGAAGCUGCCAUAGGAUCUUUAUACCUGUACAGCCAGCAGGAUGCCAUGCGUCAGGUCCUGAUGUCUUUUGAUGCCAGUACGAAUCUUGUUCAGGCUUCACAACAUGCUCCUCCACAGUGUGACUAUCAGCGGCUCAUUGGACAGCUGACUGCACCAGAAAAGUCAGCAGCUUAAAAACCUGCUCCCUGUUUAACUUUACAGCAACAUAUUUGUCUGAAGCCAUGUGUUAGUGAACGACCGAGUCCCCGUUUAUGAAUCAAAAUAAAGAAAGGAUGUAACUUCUCAAAAAUCACGGUAGGUUUUCUUUUUCAUUGAUAAAAUUGUCAUAACAAUAAUUCAGUCUGUAUAAAAGUGGCGAAUGAGGAGUUUCAUUCAUUUCGGAGUCAUGAGUAUUUCUACAGGCACUGCAGCGUGCUGUCGAUUUUUGAAAAGCUUGAUGGAUUUUUAAGGCGACAUUUUUCCAUAUGCAGAUCAACAUGUGAAUUUAGAGGCUUUCGCAUUUCAAAGCCCUUCAAAGCCCAAAGUCUUCAAGAAGUCUGUGUAUUUGGGCUAAAUAAAGUAGAAAACAGCGAAGCUGAAUUUCCGAGGACUGGACGUCGAAAGUGUUUUU